GUUUGAUUAGCUCAAUUGGUAGAGUAGGUCGGUGUAUCGUCGAUCUUUCAUAGGUUCAAAUCCUAUAUCAAACC
rnacentral:tRNA from 1 species